rnacentral:lncRNA from 1 species
UCAAUAUGAACAUAAUCAAAUCUAGAUGACAAAAAUAUCAUACAAAGGGUGGCAUUAGAGGACCAAGGACAAAGGUUCUUGAUCCGCUUCUAUUUAGUCAAUCAAAACACCUUAAUGAAGGAUAACAAUCCACAAACUGCAGAAGAGACAAUCCACGAAUUCAACCAAAGAUACUUAAACCAUACUCAUAAUGGUAAUGAUGUAACAUGUGAUUCUGUGCUAGAUCUGAUUCACCACCAAUCAGCCAGGCAUCACAUUAAUUUUCCCACUAAAGACAUGAACCAGGGUGCAGAAACCUCCUCUUCAGAACCUGAAACAAAAAAUUCACAAAACGAAUAGAUCUUCGAAGAGGAGGGGAUGAAGCGAGGGAUUUUGAAAUGAGAAAUUUUUCUAUCAACUCACUAUCAAAGGGUCAAAUAUAAUGACUAAUCAAAACUGAUACUCACUUUCAAAAUAAAUAAGAAACAAACUCAAUCCUCAUAUACUAAUAUAGUGAAAAUAAUGUGAUUCUUCAAGCACCGGACAUUUAUAAAAUUGAGAAGAAAAAGUGAGAAACCUAAUGGGUGGAUAAAUUAACCAGCCACCUAAUAUUUAUAAAAGUUAGAAUAAAUUUAAUAGUGCAUCAUGAAACAGAGUACUAUAGCAAGCAGAAAAGAUUUUCAGAUGAUCAGGAUAUGAAGAUGUUCCCAACUUCACCUCGUGCAAAGGCCUGCGCCAUGGCGCCUCCUGCGAAUAUGUUCACAACAUCGACCCUCUAUUUAGGACAGCCAUCCGGCUCCCUGUAAAGCAUGAAGCAGACAUACUCGCACAUUGUCGAUUGCUCUGGUUGCUCUUCUUCCUCAGACGACGAGUCACUUGUUAGCUAUUAAAAAUCAUGAAUUAGACUAAUCUAGCAGCCAACUGAAAAUAAUUGGUAAGACUAUUCUGUAUUUCUCAAAAGGCAUCUCAAUUACCAAAUUAAUUAGACUAACCUAACAGCCAGCUGUAGGCUACAUGAAGCAUGAGCUUACCAAAUGAGGAAUUGACCUCCUACUGAAAGGAGCACAUGCUCAUGUAGUUGUUGAACUCGUCUCAAUUAACAUAUGAAUUAUACUAAUCUACAACUAAGAGGAAGUCGUAGGAAGCAGCAGCUUACCAGAUGAGGGCUUGUCCUCCUAAUAAGAGAAGAUCAUGCUCAUUCAGUUGUUGAAUUCUUCUUCCUGCCCCUGCUUCAAACAUGUUUUGCUACUGCCAUCCCUAAGUGUGCAGUGGCAGUUGUCUUCAAAUCAAGGGCUUUUGGAUUAAAUAAAAAUCAAGAACAAACAAAUAACGCAAGAAGUGCUUGUUAAAAUGUAAGUUUUGAUAUCCAACAACUAUUCCUCCCGAUAGUUGAGGACAUAAGCACUCAUUUACUGAAUAAUUAAUGACUGGGACAUGUGUACUAAUGAACCUCCAUGACACAGUUUGAUAACAAUGUUCCAGUGAAUAUACGACAAAGAAACGUACAUGAACACUUCCUGAAACCUGAUCCAAUUGUUUGCUAGCUACGUACAUCAAGCAACAAAUCUUCCAUCCCUGUAAAUCAGUGAGUAACAUUCACGAAAAAUGAGAAGAAGAAAAGCACAACCAAUACAUGAGCCAAGCUUAAACCAUGCUAUCCAUUUUACUGGUCCUAUCUGAAAAUGUAAAUUUACUGACACUCCAGGAUUAGACUAUCUUAUCUGGUAAGAUUCCCCUAAACUAAAGAUGUAUUUGUAACUGCAAUACUGCAUAGAUUUAAACUAAAUGACAAAGAGCACUAAAAAUACUAUCAUAUGACCGUUUGAGAAAAAAAAGAUAGCUAAAAUCUUGAUGGCUACUGGGCAGAUCAUUUAUAC